GACGAGGGAUCCUAGCGUUGUUCGGAAUCAUUGGGCGUAAAGCGGGUGCAGGUGGCUUUGUAAGUCAGGUGUGAAAUCCCAGGGCUCAACCCUGGAAUUGCCUUCGAUACUGAAGAUCUCGAGACCGGAAGAGGUAAGUGGAACUGCGAGUGUAGAGGUGAAAUUCGUAGAUAUUCGCAAGAACACCAGUGGCGAAGGCGGCUUACUGGUCCGGUUCUGACGCUGAGGCGCGAAAGCGUGGGGAGCAAACAGG
rnacentral:rRNA from 1 species